UCUCCCUCUUGGACAAGAAGCCUCCAGCCCUCAAAGCUGGGAGCUGAGCAGCGUCCCCUCUACCACCUUUUCUCCAUCCCCCCUCCCUGUUCUGGUCACUAAGCUGAGCCCAGCUCCACAGCCCCUCUGCACCAAGCUCCUGCAUCCUGUUGGACAAUUUGGGGUUCAAGUUCUGCCUUGUAAAUCCAGGACUAUCGCAUCUGCUAUGACCUCUGUCUCCACCUCCCUACCCUCAUCCUGGGUGGGACUCUAGGUCACAUGUCUGACUCAGUGUCCUCCCUUGUUAAUGGAAAUGAGAAUGCCCACCUACCUACCAGAGGGUUGUGGCCAAGAUUAAACUGCAUAAGGCCAACAGGAGCUUGGCACAUGGGUUACACUCAAGAACUGUUAGCCACUGUGCUCAUCAAAGAGGUGGUGAUGGCUACCCGGGCCCCUGGAUUUCUCUCUCGGCCUCCUCCCAUCUACCUCUUGAGCCAUGCGCUCUAAAACCUGCGUCCUGACAGCCUGCAGGGCCAUGCUCACACCUUGCCCCAGAGCAGGAACUUGGAUCUGUUGACUCUCCUUGGUCUACCGGCCACUUCCCUCCCUUCCCCAAGUACCCACAUUCUGUUAGUCCAAUUCUUUUGACUGGGCUUCUUCCCCAGUUCUGUUGUACUGUGGCAAAAGGACCUUGCCA
rnacentral:lncRNA from 1 species